CACGUAGGGCGCAAGCGUUGUCCGGAAUUAUUGGGCGUAAAGAGCUCGUAGGCGGACUGUUGCGUCUGCUGUGAAAAGCUGGGGCUUAACCCUGGCCUUGCAGUGGAUACGGGCAGACUAGAGGUAGGUAGGGGAGAAUGGAAUUCCCGGUGUAGCGGUGAAAUGCGCAGAUAUCAGGAGGAACACCCGUGGCUAAGGCGGCUCUCUAGUACGGUACUGACGCUGAGACGCGAAAGCGUGGGGAGCGAACAGG
rnacentral:rRNA from 1 species